GAGAUGGGGACGUUGUUUCCGAAAAGCACCGCGGUUUCUGUGGUGUCUCGUGCUCUCUGAACGGCCCUUUAAACACCAAGGGAGGCUAUUAAUUUGCACUCAAUCGUACCGAUAUCCGCAUUAGGUCUCCAAGGUGAACAGCCUCUAGUCGAUAGAAUAAUGUAGGUAAGGGAAGUCGGCAAACUAGAUCCGUAACUUCGGGAAAAGGAUUGGCUCCAGUGGUCGGAACGGUUGGCCAGUUGGUUGAUGCUUGUCCGGCGCUGUUCUGUCUGCUUGAUGCUUUCGGGCUGAUGGCGGCCUAGUGAUAGUGCUUGCUUGUUGACGCUUUCUGGUGUGUGCUUUGACCUCGGUCUUAGUAUCCUGAUCGUUCAUCUAAACGACUAAACUGGAACCGGUACGGACUCAGGGAAUCCGACUGUCUAAUUAAAACAGAGGUGACAGAUGGUCCUUGCGGACGCUGACUGUCACUGAUUUCUGCCCAGUGCUCUGAAUGUUAAAUCGUAUUAAUUCGAGUAAGCGCGGGUAAACGGCGGGAGUAACUAUGACUCUCUUAAGGUAGCCAAAUGCCUCGUCAUUUAAUUGUUGACGCGCAUGAAUGGAUUAACGAGAUUCCUACUGUCCCUAACUACUAUCUAGCGAAACCACAGCCAAGGGAACGGGCUUGGCAAAAAUAGCGGGGAAAGAAGACCCUGUUGAGCUUGACUCUAGUUUGACAUUGUGAAGAGUCAUGAGAGGUGUAGCAUAGGUGGGAGUCUUCGGACGCCAAUGAAAUACCACCACUUUCAUCGACUCUUUACUUAUUCGGUUAAAAGAGAAUUGGUCGCAAGGCCUCUUUUCGAAGUAUUAAGCGGAUCCUAUUUUAUGGAACCGUGACUCUCCCCGAAGACAGUGUCAAGCGGGGAGUUUGACUGGGGCGGUACAUCUAUCAAAUCGUAACGUAGGUGUCCUAAGGCGAGCUCAGAGAGGACGGAAACCUCUCGUAGAGCAAAAGGGCAAAAGCUUGCUUGAUCUUGACUUUCAGUACGAGUACAGACCGCGAAAGCGUGGCCUAUCGAUCCUUUAAUUUUCCAGAUUUGUUUCUGGUAAGAGGUGUCAGAAAAAGUUACCACAGGGAUAACUGGCUUGUGGCAGCCCAGCGUCCAUAGCGACGUUGCUUUUUGAUCCUUCGAUGUCGGCUC
rnacentral:ncRNA from 1 species